rnacentral:rRNA from 1 species
UACGGAGGGUACAAGCAUUAAUCGGAUUUACUGGGCGUAAAGGGUGCGUAGGCGGAUUGGAAAGUCAGAUGUGAAAUUCCGGUACUCAAUACCGGAGCUGCAUUUGAAACUCCCUUUCUGGAGGGUAGACGGAGAGAACGGAAUUCCAUGUGUAGCGGUGAAAUGCGUAGAUAUAUGGAAGAACACCUGUGGCGUAAGCGGUUCUCUAGUUUAUUUCUGACGCUGAGGCACGAGAGUGUGGGGAGCAAAC